rnacentral:lncRNA from 1 species
ACCUAGGAUCACGAGAAGCAAGGACGAGGGUCAGAUGUACCCCGUGAUUCUUCUUCUAUACCUGCUACCUGCUGGCAUACCUAAUUUGGUUUACAGCUUUCGUUCUUACCAGGGUUAAAUAAUUAUGCAAAUCAACUUCUGCAGCCAGUCCUAGCCAAAGAGCCUAGGAAAGUGAAAGAGAAAACCGAACAAGGGGAAGGGAGAGGACAAUGAUUCCGGGAAGCUCUGCUGGGGACUGGUGAAAGACCCAGCUGACAUGCUAUGGGAAGUCCCUAAGCCACCUGGAAAGUCCAAGUGGAGUACAAUUGAGGCUCCAGGACCAUGGUACCAGCUGAACUCCCAGCCAAUAGCACCAAGUCACCAACUCCGAGUGAUCCACAUGGAGGUAGAUCCUCCAGCCCUGUUGAUCCACCUCAGCUGCCAAGCAGUCCCUGCCUGCUUAGCCCCAGUUGCAAAACUGUGAGCAAAUAAAUGAUGGUUGUUGC